GUACGUGCCGGCCGGCGUGGCGCAGCGUCCGGCGCUGCUGGUGGCCGUGCACUACUGCACCGGUUCGGGGCCCGACAUGUACGCC
rnacentral:tRNA from 1 species